rnacentral:lncRNA from 1 species
AAGCUUUGCCCUCCUGCGGAAGCAACUUCGUUUCUGCCCAACUUGUUCUAGCUAACACAAAAUUACCUGUUUCAUCACGAAGACAACAUGUGAAACCAGAAGAGUUGGCAACAUCAUAGUUACAUUUGACAAAUCCUAUAGGAGGAUUUUCCCAACUAACCUCAUUCCUUAGAGCUGCUAUGGAUAUAUCUUGAAGAUUCAAUCUGGUUUGGUGCGCUAAUCUCCAAAC